ACAACAACAACAACAACAACAACAACAACAACUACUGCUACUACUUCUACUACUGCUACUACUUCUACUACUACUACUACUACUACUGCUACUACUUCUACUACUACUACUACUGCUACUACUACUACUACUACUACUACUACUACUACUACUACUACUACUACUACUACUACUAUUACUACUGCUGCUUCUACAACAACAACAACAACUACUACUACUACUACUACUGCUUUCCUUCUCUACCUUUCGUGCUUCCUUCCUUCCUUACACCUACCAUUAUUGUCUUUCCUCCUCCUCCUCCUCCUCCUCCUCCUCCUCCUCCUCCUCCUGAUUAACACCACACAUCGUAACUUCUUUCCCUGGUUGACGUUGGUGGUGACCGUAGUGGUGAUGAUGGUGGUGGUUGUGGUGGUGGUGGUGGUGAUAAUGGUGAUGGUAGCAUAGGUUGUAGUGGUGUUUGUCUUGUUGAUGUAAGAGGAUGAACACACACACACACACACACACACAUCCUUCUCCUCCUCGUCCUUUUCUUCGUUCUCACCAUCAUAGACAUCAUCAUCAUCAUCAUCAUACAAAGACACAAACAGCAGCAGGAGUCCUGUUGUCCCUUACUAGGCUGUUCAUGAUAAGCUUCAUUACCUAAUCUAAAGUAAGAGACGUAAGGUAGUAAGUCAAAGAAAGUCGUCUCCCCACCCAUCGUUCUCUCCUACCAGACCUAUGUAUAUGUAUACCUGCCGCGUCUCAAUGUAUAAUGAUAGUAAUGAUGUUGUUGUUAUUAGUAGUGGUGGUGUUGAUGGUGGCAGUGUUGGUGGUGGGGGCGGUGUUGUGGGUGGCAGCAGCGGUGUAGGGCGGGCUGUAUCCCAACAAUCAAUUACACCAGGUAUUGUCGGCUGCCUCGCUCGAUUAGUGAAGGUGCCAAAUUAAUAACCGCUAUUCGUCCGCCUGAAUUUACGACUGGCCGGCCAAUCAGCGCGGCCCAUAAAUUCCAGGUAACGAGCCCUCAUUGGUCGAAGCACCUCUCGUUCGAUCGCCCAAAACGCGCCUUUGUUAUGUAAAAUUUAUCAAGCGAUCCCUCUAAACGUCCUCGAAGUGUGUCCGGGGCGUGGUGCCUUGUCAGCGUACCCUGGUCCAGCGGAACAGCAGCAGCGGGCGUCAAUCACUCAAUCCCUCCCUGCCUCUGGACUCCCGCUGCUGACGCCCAAGUUCCGGCCGCCGCCUUGCCGCCCGCCCACUCGAACACGUCCACCCAUCCUGCUGCUGAUGACGAUAUUUGUCAUAAAGUGAAGUUGACCUCGCCUCGCUGCCUCCCACCCGACAGAACACCCCCGCCAUCAGAAUACCAGGGUCACGUCCGGGUCCAGCUGUGUGUGUGAUGGAUGGGCUGGAGUCGGCGACCGGCCACUGCUGCUCUUCCACCCCCGCGGCGGCCCUCGCACACACCCCCCGCCGACACUACACCGCCAUUGAGGGUGAAUACAAGCCAGUGGACGACGCAGUUCACUUUUACACUCGCGACCACAGGACUGACGGCUGGAUCUUUGCACUCUGGCGGUCUCCACGUCAACACUGUUCCAAACCAUACAUGCGGCACUCGGGAGGGCGUGGCGGCGGGCGCGGGGAGGCAGGACUGUGACAUGACGGCUCUCCAGUGGUGCACGGGAAGGGGCUUGUUGUGCUGCACAAGGUGUGUGCCGUACUGCCGCUGCAGGGCGUCGCGAGCCACGGCGUGCAGCAGGCGGUACAGGGGAGCCACCUGGAUGUACAGCCUCGCCACUGCCGCCCG